AUGAUCAGGUGAGAGCCGUUGAGAAUCAACGUUGCUCGCUAGCUCAUAGGUGAGUUUUAUCACAAAGUAGGAAAACUAAGAAGGGCCGUAUCCGGCCCGCGGGCCGCUACUUGAAGGACCUAUGGUCCUGCGGGACCCGCGGUGGAUAUAUUUCUGACGGGCAGGACGAGCAGGCGAAGGACCGCGGUGGAGGAUCCAACAGGUGGGAGCGCAGUAGCUGGAGCUCCGCAGCCGUGUAUUGGGACUGUCGCCGACAAUGGACGGAGCUAAGCGGGCAGUUUAUUGAGCCGCACAGAUGCCAGGUGGAGGGUGGACUGUAGCAGGAUGGGACGACUCGCCAGUUCGCCACAGGACUGAAAUCAAAGACUCCACAGCGAGGGAGGACAAAGCAACGAGGGAGUAAAGAAAUACAAAGACGGGCGAGAAGAAGAGAAAGGUGGCAAAGGGACAGAAGGGAGUAUCUAACAAAGAAGACAAUGUGGGGAUGAAAGGAACCAGGAGAACCUGGAGAAAACCCACGCACACACGGGGAGAACAUGCAACCACACUACACCAACUGUGUGGCCCCACAUAAGAAUGAAUAAGUUUAAGCUCCUCCCACAGCCAUAUGACGGAAAAGCAGAGGGAUGUGUAUGUGAAGCUGCUUCGUAGAACAGCCAAUAGGAGGCGCUCGUUCUCUCGGAAAUGCCCUCUGAUUGGUCAAAGCUUCCCAUCGCAUGCCCAGAUUUCCCCAAAGCUGGAAACAGAACCUUGAGGAGGCACAGAAGUUUUGUUCUCCCUCAGAUCACAUGACACUGAAAGUCAGAUAAUGGGAUUGCUGUCACGACAUAAACACCACGUGACAGAGACUGAGGCACGGUGGAUCACGGGUGAAGAGACGAUCCUGUCACGGUCAGGUGUGAUCUCGCUUGAGAAGGUAAUCGGCGUCUUUUGGAACGACGGCGGGGGAAAACCUUACAAUCGCUCAACCACUCUCACUGAGAGGCAGUGAAACAACGAUGUGAUCCGAGCUUUUCCUCUGACUUCUGAGAUGUUUAGUCUGUAUUACGCCAUCGGGCCCCCCCCCCCGAGGCAUUACUGAAGCACACCUGCCAAACUGCAU